rnacentral:rRNA from 1 species
AGAGUUUGAUCAUGGCUCAGGACGAACGCUGGCGGCGUGCUUAACACAUGCAAGUCGAACGGAAAGGCCCCUUUGGGGGUGCUCGAGUGGCGAACGGGUGAGUAACACGUGGGUGAUCUGCCCUGCACUUCGGGAUAAGCUUGGGAAACUGGGUCUAAUACCGGAUAGGACCACGGCCUGCAUGGGUUGUGGUGGAAAACGUUUUAGUGGUGUGGGAUGGGCCCGCGGCCUAUCAGCUUGUUGGUGGGGUGAUGGCCUACCAAGGCGACGACGGGUAGCCGGCCUGAGAGGGUGUCCGGCCACACUGGGACUGAGAUACGGCCCAGACUCCUACGGGAGGCAGCAGUGGGGAAUAUUGCACAAUGGGCGCAAGCCUGAUGCAGCGACGCCGCGUGGGGGAUGACGGCCUUCGGGUUGUAAACCUCUUUCACCAUCGACGAAGCUUCCGGGUUUUCUUGGGGGUGACGGUAGGUGGAGAAGAAGCACCGGCCAACUACGUGCCAGCAGCCGCGGUAAUACGUAGGGUGCGAGCGUUGUCCGGAAUUACUGGGCGUAAAGAGCUCGUAGGUGGUUUGUCGCGUUGUUCGUGAAAUUCCCUGGCUUAACUGGGGGCGUGCGGGCGAUACGGGCAGACUGGAGUACUGCAGGGGAGACUGGAAUUCCUGGUGUAGCGGUGGAAUGCGCAGAUAUCAGGAGGAACACCGGUGGCGAAGGCGGGUCUCUGGGCAGUAACUGACGCUGAGGAGCGAAAGCGUGGGGAGCGAACAGGAUUAGAUACCCCGGUAGUCC